GACGAACGCUGGCGGCGUGCUUAACACAUGCAAGUCGAACGAAGUGGCGAACGGGUGAGUAAUACGUGGGUAACCUGACCUCCUUUUUGGGAUAAGCCUUUGAAACGGGGUCUAAUACCGAAUAAAGGGGGAUGGGAUCGCGGCCUAUCAGCUUGUUGGUGGGGUGACGGCCUACCAAGGCGGUGACGGGUAGCCGGCCUGAGAGGGUGACCGGACACUAUCGGUGUGCGAUACAGACCAAAGACCCACAGGAGGCAGCAUUGGGGGGAAUUGCACCAUGGGCGAAAGCCUGAUGCACCGUCGCCGUCUGGGGGAUGAAGGCUUUCUGGUUGUAAACCUCUUUCGCUAGCGAACGGGUAGCUGGAGAAGAAGCGCCGGCUAACUACGUGCCAGCAGCCGCGGUAAUAC
rnacentral:rRNA from 1 species